rnacentral:rRNA from 1 species
AUUGAACGCUGGCGGCAGGCCUAACACAUGCAAGUCGAACGGCUGAAGGGUACUUGCUCCUGGAUUCAGCGGCGGACGGGCGAGUAAUGCCUAGGAAUCUGGCAGGUAGUGGGGGCUAACGUCCGGACACGGGCGCUAAUACCGCAUACGUCCUGAGGGCGAACGUGGGGGAUCAUCGGACCUCACGCUCUCAGGUGAUCCGAGGACGGAUUAGCUAGUUGGCGGGGUAAAGGCCUACCAAGGCGACGAUCCGUAACUGGUCUGAGAGGAUGAUCAGCCACACUGGAACUGAGACACGGUCCAGACUCCUACGGGAGGCAGCAGUGGGGAAUAUUGGACAAUGGGCGAAAGCCUGAUCCAGCCAUGCCGCGUGUGUGAAGAAGGUCUUCGGAUUGUAAAGCACUUUAAGUUGGGAGGAAGGGCAGUAAGUUAAUACCUUGCUGUUUUGACGUUACCAACAGAAUAAGCACCGGCUAACUUCGUG